AAUACCUUAAGGAUGUCUAUUUUAACUCUUAGUAUUAAUGUCUAAAUCAGCAUUUGGGAAACCCCCCAGUCAUACCAUAUGGCAGUUCAGAUCUAUCCUGCAGUGACUCACGUCUUUUCUGGUGCAACCCAAUGUUUUCAGACUAUUAUGGAGUUUGCAAAGAAUAUCCAACUCAAACAGGAUCUUUACAAUGCCCUUCUGAUCUGUGCCGUGACUCUGAGACACAGACAUAAGAAUACUGAAAGGCAGUUAAUGAAUUGACCAGCGUUUUGGAGACACAACAAUAAAAACGACCCCAAAGAGUGACACUGACUGUGAAAUCAUCUAGAUGAAAAGAACAUUGGUAGCUUAAAGGCUAAUGAGGACGAUAGGUGGCUGAGAAAAGAAAGGAAAGAAAAAGUUCAAGAAACAUUUAGUGAAUAUGAUUGCAGUUGUCUUGGCCCUCUUGUA
rnacentral:lncRNA from 1 species